GAGACAUUAGCUCAGUGGUAGAGCACCUCACUUUUAAUGAGGGGGUCGAUGGUUCAAGCCCAUCAUGUCUCA
rnacentral:tRNA from 1 species